AAUCAACGCUGGCGGCGUGCCUCAGACAUGCAAGUCGAACGAUUAAAGCUCUCUUCGGAGAGUGCAUAGAGUGGCGCACGGGUGAGUAACACGUAAGUAAUCUACCUUCGAGUGGGGAAUAACGUCCGGAAACGGACGCUAAUACCGCAUAAUGCAGCGGCAUCGCAAGAUGACAGUUGUUAAAGAUUUAUCGCUUGAAGAGGAGCUUGCGGCAGAUCAGCUAGUUGGUAAGGUAAUGGCUUACCAAGGCUACGAUCUGUAACCGGUCUUAGAGGACGGUCGGUCACACUGACACUGAAUAACGGGUCAGACUCCUACGGGAGGCAGCAGUCGGGAAUUUUGGGCAAUGGGCGAAAGCCUGACCCAGCAACGCCGCGUGAAGGAUGAAGUAUUUCGGUAUGUAAACUUCGAAAGAAUGGGAAGAAUCAAUGACGGUACCAUUUAUAAGGUCCGGCUAACUACGUGCCAGCCGCCGCAGUAAUAC
rnacentral:rRNA from 1 species